rnacentral:lncRNA from 1 species
UCUUCUCUUCUUUUCAGUGUUGCAAUCCUCCUCUGUUUUAGUUCUUCUCUUGUAUCUGUUGUCUCUCUAUCUUCUUAUUCAAUAAGAUGAAUUCAAUCAAGUUUUCACAAUUAGGAUCAAAUUCUAGAAAUGAUUGAUUUAUACUAAUUGAAUUAGGAUUGGGGUUCAAGGACUCUCUAAUUUCUCGCACAGAAAGGGUUGGUAAUUGUCCUCUACUCUCAUGGAAAGGUCGCACAAUAUCAACAAACAAAGGACCUAUCUUUACCUUGUUGAAACCAGCGAAUCAUCUCCAUCAUCUAUGUGUUCUGUUGCUAGAGUUAUUGUAGAGUUGAUGUGAUAGUUCAUUAAUCUUAUUUUCUUGCAGAGAUUGUGCCUUCUCUACUUUUCAAAAUCGGUUUUGCAUGUUUUCUAUGGUUUGAUCGCAGAUGAGAGAUUGUUCUUCUAACGCUUACAAUCAUUAUAUGUUCUUCUUGCAGAUGAGAGAUUGUUCUUCUAACGCUUACAAUCAUAAUAUGUUCUUCGUCGCGAGCCUUUCCUUUUGUUUUUGCAACGUCAAGGCUGGUGUUUCCUUUAGAUUAACAAUCUAUGAUACUAAAUUGUCAGGUAUUACAAACACUUGUGACUUAAAGCUCCGUCUAUUUCUAAAAAAUAAUUUACUAAAAAAAUAUUUUUUCGUCAAACAUAUUUUUAAGGAAAAUACAUUAUUUUCCGAUGAUUGACUAUUAUAUAAAAAAUAAUUGGAAACUACUUUCCGAUGUGUAAUAUAACAUUAAACAAUUUUAAUUUUUUGCUACAUAAAUAAUAUAUUUGCAAUUAUUAUAUUUCACAUAAAUUUAAUAAUUGUCCGGAAUUCAUAAGAAAAUAAAAUUAAUAAAAGAUUGAGCAUCAUAAUAAAAAAAAAAACAUUUCUAAUAUUUUAUUAUAAUUUCAUCAAGUUGAUAUCAAAGUUCAUAUAUUACUUAAACACAUAGGUAAUGCAAAAAGCAAUAAUAACAUUAGUCCAGGGAUUUACUAAAGAAGGGACUCAGGUGGAAUGUGGGUAACGAUUGGGAUAUUGAUGUUUGGGAUGAUGCUUGGUUAUAGAGAGCUAGAUUUUCGGGGACAAACAACAAGGGGAGAUCACGAGGAGAACUUGAAAGUGUGUGACCUGAUAAACAAUGGGUUGUCGGCAAACUCCACCAUUUGUUUGAUUUAGGAGAUAUAGCCAGCAUUCUUGCAAUCCCUUUGAGCCUAUUGCAGUAUGGGGAUAAGCAAAUUUGACAUUUUUCUAUAAAUGGGAUAUACACAGUGAAAACAUGUUAUCAUAUUGCUGCUUCUCUUUUCCGACUAAUUCUCAUGCUUUAUUUAUAGGUGAUUGGCGCAAAUUCUGGAGUGUAAAGGUGGCACAAAGUUUAGUAACUUUGUUUGGCGAGCUGUAACUAACAUAUUGCGACAAAGGUUCAAAUUCUUCAUAAAGGGGUCCAAGUGGAGUCGAAAUGUCCAUACUGUGACGAGGAGGAUACUCUACAUGCAUUGCUGUUGUGUCCUAAAGGCUCAAGUGUGCUGGCAGUUUUUAUCUCAUAACCUUAAUCGGUUUUUCCUGAAUGUAGGGUCCUUUGUUUUUCAUGUUAUUAACGCAUUAGAAGCAGAAAUGGUCCAACACAUUUUUCAACUCCUCUACAGCAUCCGGUCAGGUCGAAACUUGCUGUUAUUUUAGCAAAAGAGAUUUGGUCCUUCACAAAUAAUUGGUUACGCCUUGCAUGGUUUGAACGAAUGGUUGGAGGCUUAGGAAUCGAUUCUGGCGUCAGGGAAGCAGGCGGGACAAGGUGACAGAGCCAACUUGUGGACUAAACCAGCUACUGGAAUGUUAAAGUGUGAUGUUGAUGCUUAGAGGUUCCUGGAAUUCCGGUGAAUGGGGUAUGGAGCUGUCCUUCGCAGGCUUGUCUGGUUUAUUUCAAGGUCACGUAACCCAGCUAUGGCGGAUGCUAUGGCCAUUAGAGAGACUCUCUCUUGGCUUCGCAGGGAAGGUUAUAGCAAUGUUGAAGUGGAGACAGACUUAUAGUUAAGUUGGCAACGGUUUCGAUCCUCACGAAGGAUUUUCUGAGUUUCAAUUAGUUAUUAAGGAUUGCAGGACAUUACUCUUACGUGGUAAUGGGUUUAAGAUAUCUUGGGUGAGAUGCCGCGCUAAUAUGGUUGCUCGUUUGCCCGAGGAAGCUAUUACAAUGGCUGGUAGUACGAUUUGAAGGUUACCUCCAGAUUUUUUAUGGAAAAAUAAUUAUUUGGCCUCUGAGAAUUUUAUAAAAUUAAUUAAUUUAUUUUCG